UACGUAGGGAGCAAGCGUUGUCCGGAAUCAUUGGGCGUAAAGCGCGCGUAGGUGGCCUCGUAAGUCCGCUGUGAAAGUCAAAGGCUCAACCUUUGAAAGCCGGUGGAUACUGUGAGGCUAGAGUACGGAAGAGGCGAGUGGAAUUCCUGGUGUAGCGGUGGAAUGCGCAGAUAUCAGGAGGAACACCAAUAGCGAAGGCAGCUCGCUGGGACGUAACUGACACUGAAGCGCGAAAGCGUGGGGAGCGAACAGG
rnacentral:rRNA from 1 species